ACCCCGCCGGCCGCGGAGGUUCGGUCCCCGCGCGGGGACUCCGGCCGCUCGCACCGCGCACCCCUCCCGGCCCGGACCCCGCGGGGAGAAUGAAUGGGCGGGACUCCGGCCACCCCGCCCCGCCCGCUCCGUCCGGCUCCGGCGCCUCCCGCGCGCGUGGGCAGGGCCGGGGCUGAACCCAGAGCGGCCGGGGCGGGGGUGAGGGAGCCGGGCGGGGACCCCAGCCAGGGCGGCGAGGCCGGCGGGGACCGGCGCGAACCUUCCCGUCCCGCCCGCGUCUUACCUGGCUCCGCGGAGGCCGCGCGGACCCCGAGCAGCAGGACCAGGGGCGCGAGCACGUCCAGGAGGCGCCGCCGCCGCGGCCACAGCCAGGGACACCUGCGCGGGACAGGCACGGGGCCAGCAUCCUGAGCCCCACCUGCGGGCCCUGGGCGCUUUCCUCCUGGCAGCUGUGCCCCCACCCGACCGGACCGCUCCCUGCAACUAGAGAGCCCUCACACCAGCAACCACCCCCACCUGCUCCCACCUCGUGUGCACAAAACUCAUGGCACUGGCUUGACGGCUUUCUCUGAUUCCGCCUGGCGCAUCCACACUGUCCCUUCUCGGCCAGGGCUCAUCUCCUAUGCCUGGACCAAGCAGCAUGGUUUUCAGUCUCCCUGGUCUCCCCACACGUGACCCCACCCAUCCUCUGAAGCAGCCCCAGGAGGCAGCAGUGACGUCACACUUCUAGUACCCGGCCCUCCCGGCCCUCCUCUCUGGGCUUGCUUGCCAGGGUCCUCCCAACCUGACUGCUGCCUCCCACCUCCUCUCCGCCCCUGGAGCUCUCCAGCCGCAGCCCAGCCGCGGGGCCUGCUUGGGAUUCUCCUCUGCUGGCAUCAUCCCUGCCUGCCUCAGCCUUCCCAGGCCCAAUCCUGCCCAAUCUCACCUCUUCCCACCCAUCCACCUGGCCAGGUCCCCACCAGCAUCUGCCUUCAAACCUGGAGUCCUUCUCUGAGUGCUUGCGGUCCACUGUGAGGAAGGAAAUCAAUUUAAAGGAUUAUGACCCACAUUUUUUAAAAAUAA
rnacentral:lncRNA from 1 species